UCCACACCGUUCUAGGUGCUGG
rnacentral:misc_RNA from 1 species